GUUACAGCAGCCGCGGUAAUACGGAGGGUGCAAGCGUUGUUCGGAAUCAUUGGGCGUAAAGAGCGUGUAGGCGGCUGGACAAGUCUGAUGUGAAAGCCCGGGGCUCAACCCCGGAAGUGCAUUGGAAACUGUCCGACUUGAGUACUGGAGAGGAUGGGGGAAUUCCCGGUGUAGAGGUGAAAUUCGUAGAGAUCGGGAGGAAUACCAGUGGCGAAGGCGCCCAUCUGGACGGAUACUGACGCUGAGACGCGAAAGCGUGGGGAGCAAACAGGAUUAGAUACCCCGGUAGUCC
rnacentral:rRNA from 1 species